rnacentral:misc_RNA from 1 species
AACGCACAUUGCGCCCCCUGGUAUUCCGGGGGGCAUGCCUGUCCGAGCGUCAUUGCUGCCCUCAAGCACGGCUUGUGUGUUGGGCUUCGCCCCCCGUUCUUCGGGGGGCGGGCCCGAAAGGCAGCGGCGGCACCGCGUCCGGUCCUCGAGCGUAUGGGGCUUUGUCACCCGCUCUGUAGGCCCGGCCGGCGCCCGCCGGCGACCCCAAAUCAAUCUAUCCAGGUUGACCUCGGAUCAGGUAGGGAUACCCGCUGAACUUAA